CCUACGGGGGGCUGCAGUGGGGAAUAUUGCACAAUGGGGGAAACCCUGAUGCAGCGACGCCGCGUGAGUGAAGAAGUAAUUCGUUAUGUAAAGCUCUGUCAGCAGGGAAGAAAAUGACGGUACCUGAGUAAGAAGCCCCGGCUAACUACGUGCCAGCAGCCGCGGUAAUACUUAGGGGGCAAGCGUUAACCGGAUUUACUGGGGGAAAGGGGAGCGGAGACGGCAGGGCAAGUCUGGAGUGAAAGGCGGGGGGUCAACCCCCGGACUGCUCUGGAAACUGUACGGCUGGAGUGCAGGAGAGGUAAGCGGAAUUCCUGGUGUAGCGGUGAAAUGCGUAGAUAUAAGGAGGAACACCAGUGGCGAAGGCGGCUUACUGGACUGUAACUGACGUUGAGGCUCGAAAGCGUGGGGAGCAAACAGGAUUAGAUACCCGGGUAGUC
rnacentral:rRNA from 1 species